CCCCCCUCCCUCGCCCACCCUCUGGCUCCCGACAAGAAGGCUCCUCCCCUAGCCCGAGACUUGGCGCCGUCUGACCCCGAGAGGAGUCCCGAUUUGCACCCCUUCUCCCAAUGUUGGACCCGCGCCGUUCUGUGGGAGCGUGUUGCGGUGUUUGCAGCCUGCCUUUGGCCACAGUGUGUGCACAGACCCUCCCUUGGUGCCAGAAGGAGCCCAGCCCUGCCGGUGCCUGGAGAACAGUAGAGAAGUCGUUUCGGCUGCUGUCAGCUACAGUGAGGGGAAGGAAGACUGCAGAACACAGAGUACAGCCUGGGAGUCUGAGAGGAUCAGCGGCAGAAAGAACAGUACCAG